rnacentral:rRNA from 1 species
GAUGAACGCUAGCGAUAGGCCUAACACAUGCAAGUCGAGGGGCAGCACAUGACGUAGCAAUACAGAUGGUGGCGACCGGCGCACGGGUGAGUAACACGUAUGCAACCUACCUUUAACACGGGCAUAACCCGGAGAAAUUCGGACUAAUUCCCGAUAAUACAGGGGUCCCGCAUGGGAAUAUUUGUUAAAGAUUUAUUGGUUAAAGAUGGGCAUGCGUUCCAUUAGCUAGUUGGUGAGGUAACGGCUCACCAAGGCAACGAUGGAUAGGGGAACUGAGAGGUUUAUCCCCCACACUGGAACUGAGACACGGUCCAGACUCCUACGGGAGGCAGCAGUGAGGAAUAUUGGUCAAUGGAGGCAACUCUGAACCAGCCAAGUCGCGUGAAGGAUGAAUGUCCUAUGGAUUGUAAACUUCUUUUGUACAGGAAUAAAGUGAGCCACGUGUGGUUUUUGCAUGUACUGUACGAAUAAGGAUCGGCUAACUCCGUGCCAGCACG